rnacentral:lncRNA from 1 species
CUGCAAUUAUAUCCAACCAAGUACAUGGAUCGGAAGAUAUGGCUAAGGAAUUAUGCAAGAUACUUUGGAAUUACAGUGAUCACCACUGUGAAUAUUGUGUUGUUGAAGAUAUGAGCCAAGCAUCUCUUAACGAUGAAGAAUUCCCUGCAGAAUUCUUUGAUUCAAAAAUGGAGAAAUGAUGGUGAUUGAAGUAGCCCUUUAUCACUACUUUAAUAAAGAA